rnacentral:rRNA from 1 species
UACAGAGGGUGCAAGCGUUGCUCGGAAUCAUUGGGCGUAAAGGGCAAGUAGGUGGUCUCAUUUGUCUCGUGUGAAAGCCUUGGGCUUAACCCAAGAAGUGCGCGAGAAACGGUGAGACUCGAGUUCUGGAGAGGGUCGUGGAAUUCCCGGUGUAGCGGUGAAAUGCGUAGAGAUCGGGAGGAACACCAGAGGCGAAGGCGGCGACCUGGACAGAUGACUGACACUCAACUGCGAAAGCGUGGGGAGCAAACAGG